CCCUUAGAUGUUCUGGGCCGCACGCGUGCUACACUGAGUAAUUCAAUGGGUAAGGGAACGCUAGAGCAUUACCUAAUCUUGAAAUUUGCUCGUGAUGGGGAUCGACGGUUGCAAUUUUCCGUCGUGAACGAGGAAUACCUUGUAGGCGCAUGUCAUCAUCAUGCGCCGAAUACGUCCCUGCCCUUUGUACACACCGCCCGUCGCUCCUACCGAUUGAGUGAUCCGGUGAGGCUCUGGGACCUGGACGGAAAGAGCGUUUCGCUUGUUCUGUUUGGGAAACGUGGUCGAACCUUAUCAUUUAGAGGAAGGAGAAGUCGUAACA
rnacentral:rRNA from 1 species